GACGAACGCUGGCGGCGUGCUUAACACAUGCAAGUCGUACGGUAAGGCCCUUUCGGGGGUACACGAGUGGCGAACGGGUGACUAACACGUGAGUAACCUGCCCACAACUUUGGGAUAACGCUAGGAAACUGGUGCUAAUACUGGAUAUGUGCUCCUGCUGCAUGGUGGGGGUUGGAAAGCUCCGGCGGUUGUGGAUGGACUCGCGGCCUAUCAGCUUGUUGGUGGGGUAGUGGCCUACCAAGGCGGCGACGGGUAGCCGGCCUGAGAGGGUGACCGGCCACAUUGGGACUGAGAGACGGCCCAGACUCCUACGGGAGGCAGCAGUGGGGAAUAUUGCACAAUGGGCGCAAGCCUGAUGCAGCAACGCCGCGUGCGGGAUGACGGCCUUAGGGUUGUAAACCGCUUUCAGCAGGGACGAAGCUUUUUGUGACGGUACCUGCAGAAGAAGCACCGGCUAACUACGUG
rnacentral:rRNA from 1 species